rnacentral:tmRNA from 1 species
GGGGGUGAGCUAGGUUCGACGCAGGUAGUGCGGGUGAGAGCAGCGAGCCGAGGUCCCGUGGCCUCGUUAAACUGCGGGAAGAGCAAACUGCCAACGAGAAUCUCGCUCUAGCGGCCUAACGGCCACUACGCCCGGCGGGUCCAGCCUGCGGGACCUACCGGGUGCCGACCAGCAGGAUAGCGGCCGGGCCUUCCCCCUGGAGGCUCGGGGCGCGAAAACAACCAGGGUAGCCGCAGCGGAUCCCGCCCGUGGGAGCCGGUCGCGGCGAACGGAAAACGCGGGCUACGCUCGUAGAGACUGGCACCUGUUCACCUGCGGACCCGGGUGCAACUCCCGGCACCUCCACCA